UUAUUGCUAUUCAUUCGGGUGAUUUAUAAAAUUAAUGAUUCACUCAAAUGCUUUUACAGUUUUUUUAUACCUUGCAGCACGAUGAAGCUCAAACAUCCGGGGUUAGAAACUAGAUGGAACCAGUACAAUACAGGAACUGAUCUUAUUUCAGAGGACUUAGAUCUACUAGAUAUUUGGAAAUACCCACCGCUGGACCUGGAUCUAGUGGACCUGAUCUGGACUAAGAAGUCCGACCCUAUUGAUCAGAACAAUCCUGGUCUGACUCAGACAUGAUUUCGUUGAAAAUUAAAGCUGGGGCAGUGAUUCUGCUGUGUGUUCUGCUGCUGGGACUGUUGUACAGCUCAGUCCGGCAGUCUGGCAGAGUUAUAGAUCCCUUUAAACAGAAUCAGAUUUCACCUACAAAAAGGUCAGUAACUCUUUCUUUUUCUGUUCAGUUUAGUCUGACAGGCUGUUUAGUGUCCUUCACACUUUCAUUGUGUUUUAGUGAUGUCAGUUGCCUGAACACUGUGUGCACAAUUAUUAGGCAAGGGGGUAUUUUGAACAUAUAAUUAUUUUUAUGCAUAUUUUCCAACUCCAAGCUGCAAACUUGAAUGCCUAUUAGAUUUAAGCAUAUCAGAUGACGCAUACUUGUGUAAUUAGGGAGGGUGUGGCCUAGGUCAACACCCUGUAGAGGGAGCUGGUCAGUUUGUGUCUUUGAUCAUAGUCGUACUCAGGGCUGACCCAGGCAAUGUUUGAGCCCUAGGCAAGAUUUUAGAUUGGCGCACCCGCCCCCCACACACGUAAACACACACACACACACAAAUUCCUUCCUUCACUCUGAAGGUUACAUUCAUAAGGUAAUAAAACGAGUUUACAAAAAAAAUGUUUUAAAGGAAAUACUGCAUGUAGGCUAUAAAAAAACCAUACAAAUUUAUAAUAAAAAAUAUACCACGAUUCUGAAAUCAAGCUAUACUGACAUUUUCCUCCGAGCCGGAUCGGGGGUAAAUGAUGUUAGUCUUCACAGGUGACUGACCUGCAUAAGCCUAUAGCAGUCAGCCCCCCACAAGAGAUUGUGUGCUUGUGUGUUUCUGUUAAGACACAAUCGAUUUUUCAGUGUGUAUUCCGGCCCGAUUGGAUCACGAGCCAGCCGCGUAGCUUCCCGGCGGUUAACAGUACUUCGCUGCCGGAGCAAACAGCCCGAUUGAUAUCAUUGGUGCGGAAAAGAGGAGUACAGCUUUUCAAGGCGCUUUGCGGUGCUUCUGCCUCCGGUGUGUCUCCGGGGUUAGAGGACGAUGGUGUUACGUUACUUCAUUGGUCAACAUUGCAUGUAUCACGUCUUAGUAAAUCA